AGCUGCAGUACUUUUUGUGUGGUGUGGAAGUGUUUGUUUUUUGCAAUAGAUUUUUGUUGCAGUUUAGGUUUGUAUUUUCUUUGUUUUGUAGUGCUUAUUAUGAAGGUUCGUAGGUUUAUGUCUGUAGGCCAGGCAGGUCAUUAAACUUAACAAAGAAUAAGUAAGUCGGGAGAGGGGAAUAGAAAUCUCCACAUACAUAUUCUUAAAAGCUGUAACACUCACCACAAAGAUCUGCUGAGUGAAGUCUGUGAGACGAACGCACCAAGUCUGGACGCUCUGUCAGGCUACAUUUUACGUUUUUGGGAGUGAGCAGGUGUUAUUCUGUUCCCCGGGUUGGUUUUGAAGUCAUGGCUCUCAAGUAAUUUUUGUGCUUCUCAAAAGUGCUGGAAUUGCAAAGAUCAACAUCAAAAGCUACAAACUGGAAACAGAGGAAGAUACUAGCCCCGUGUUUCUGAUUCAGUAUCACUGAAAUACUUUGGAACCAUAUAAAGGGCAAAGUACAUUCCACAUGUUGAAGGACAGUGCCUGGCCCUGUGGGGUGUCAUCCCCAAGCUGUAGGCAUAGUGGCAACCCAGGGGUUCAUCUCAACUCCCAUCAGAGUUCAAACAUUGAAUUAGUUGUGCAAUGGAAGGAGUAUUACCAGGACCCAGAUGCAGCCCAAGGAAAAAAGAAAACAAAAGGAGACACACACAGCUCAGAGCCACUCAGACAUUGGGAAGCAAGUUUGUCAAGAUGACAGAGAACCGAGGUAAUGGAUUCGAGUGAUGAAACAGGAAGUUCAUUCAUGAGUUUUUGGCCACACCUCCAAAGUGACGACUUAGCCAGAAAUGGGAUAACUGGGUUUCCCUACUUCUCUUUUAUCAUCCUCAAUGAGAGUGACCAAAUAUUAGAGCUAGAUGGAACCUUAGUGAAAAUCUGGCUACUCGUCCCGUCCCACCAGCCUGCCACCCAUUUCAAGUUUGAAGAGACAAAGACACAUGGACCUUAUGUAAUUACUGGGGAUUACCCCAGGAGUCUGUGGCAAAAGUCAGCUUCUUCCCUCCCUGCUUCCCCGCCCUGUCUCUGGUACUUUCUACCAACACUGGGCUGUUUCUGUGAUCACACUUAAGCGUACCUAACCUGCGAAUGCUGUAUAGAAGGUGCUAAUGAACAUGAUUUAGCUUUAACACUCAGUUUUCUAAAGGGACACGUGGGGGCAGCAAAUGUUUAGGCAAAAACAAUUCCAGUUCUAGCCUCUACUGUCUACAUAUGUGUAUACAUUUGGGAAACGUUUGGGAAAGGGAUAUUUGAGAGCUUCUUUUUCUUUUUUGUGGUUUAGUUAUUUGAUGAUAUUGAGAUUGUUUCUGAGCCAUGUGCUUCAACAUCGGAUUGGGGAUUUCAGAAAAAGUUUUAGUCACUGUGAUUCCAUUUAGCUUCCAAAUGUGUCUCUGCUAAGAGACUUAAAAGCACUCAUAAAUAGCACGUGUGUCUUCUUUGCAGUGUUUGCUAAUUUUGAGUCACAUCUUUUUAGAAAAUCAUGAGAUUUGGUGUCACAGAGACUGGAAUAAAUAUAGUCAAACUUAUUGGUGAAGAUUUCCUUUAGCUGUUUUCAUAAUCCAUUUCCAUUGUUAUGAUUAUUGAUGAAUAAAACAUUUUCUUUAGGUAGAUACUUCUUUUUUCCCCCCACCUUGAUUUAAUGUUUCCACUCUUAUUGUCAAGUUUCUUAUUACUCCCUAAUAACUCUCAAUAAAAUAAUGAUUCCUGGGAGAUUAUUCCUGCUUUCCUACUAUCACCUGUUGAUUUGAAAAGACAGAACAAUACCGUAGAAGCUUCACUAAUACAUUGAAAGAUAAAAUGAUAAUACUAAAUACUAAAAUAUGAAAAGUGAUACUAAAAGUGGAGUCCUGGCACUAGUAUUUUUUUUUUUGAGUCUUUAAAUUUUAUUUAUUUAUUUUUGAAUUUUUUAAAAUUAUAUGUUAUGUUCUGGGAUACAUGUGCAGAACGUGCAGGUUUGUUACAUAGGUAUACAGGUCUGGCACUAGUAUUUUGUUGCCACAAAAUAUCAAGCAUGUAUCCAAACUGCUCAAGACACAUUAAAGACACAGGUAAUCUGUAGGCAUAUUCAGGCUUGUAGUUUGCAUUUUUUGGUUUUCUUGUGGCUUUCAGUGCAAGUUGAGGUAAUUCAUGGGAAACAGUCACCAAAGAAGUGCCAGUAUUAGAAAUCCAAGAGCCAUUUCUCUAGCUUCUUCCAGAAUCAAGACUUUAGAGGUAAUUUCUAUCAACACUGGACAUUUCCUGUCUGCAAUUAACAAUGAACACAUAGCAUUAUGUUUAAUUGCAACCUGUUUAAAGCAGAUUGGAUGCUAAGGUUUAAGAACACUCUUCAGUCAAAAAGGUCUUUUAAUCAGGUUUUUAAUCUUGAGCACAAUCUAGGACACAGCAUCAUAGACUAACUCAUUCGAGAAUAGGUGUUGUCAUCUAAUCCUAACCACCCCCACCACCAACAAGCUGAAUAGCUCUGGGCUCAGUAUAUACAUUUGUACUGGGCUCAGUACACACACCUAAGCUGGGUUCAGUAUAUGCCACUUUAUAGUGAGAGGCAUUUUGUAAUGAGAGCUCUGGGUUCACUAUAUACAUUUGUACUGGGCUCAGUACACACAUCUAAGCUGGGUUCAGUAUAUGCCACUUUAUAGUGAGGGCCAUUUUGUAAUGAGAGCUCUAAGGCUCUAAAAUUCUGUGUUUCUGCUAGUUUCUUCCUCAAGAUAAAACUGUGGAACUCAUAGUGAAUUCCCUCUCUUUGGGCAGUUUGAGCCAGGCCGCUAUUUAAUCACAACAUCACAAGUCAGAUUUUUCCUACCUAGUGUUGGCAGUGGAACACACCAGAACUGCUAAGGCCAAGGAAAUCCCAUUUUUUGAAGAGGCUUUCCUUUGUUAGCUUCUCUUUCUAGUAGUAAAGGUAAAAGAAAAAUAGAUGUUAAAGAUAUAAAUAUCUUAGGGGGUUUUUAUUGGUAUAAAUAUUUGUACACAAAAAGAAUAUGUAAUGUAAACUGGAUAUGUAUUUUUUACAUUUUACUUAACCUGAAUUUUACACAAUCUUUGCUUGAAUGCUCC
rnacentral:lncRNA from 10 species